rnacentral:rRNA from 1 species
UACGGAAGGCAGCAGUGGGGAAUAUUGCACAAUGGGCGCAAGCCUGAUGCAGCUAUGCCGCGUGUAUGAAGAAGGCCUUAGGGUUGUAAAGUACUUUCAUCGGGGAGGAAAAACAAAACUAAUAAUUUUAUUUUCUUUGACGUUACCCGAAAAAGAAGCACCGGCUAACUCCGUGCCAGCAGCCGCGGUAAUACGGAGGGUGCUAGCGUUAAUCAGAAUUACUGGGCGUAAAGAGCACGUAGGUGGUUUUUUUAAGUCAGAUGUGAAAUCCCUGGGCUUAACCUAGGAACUGCAUUUUGAAACUGAAAUACUAGAGUAUCGUAGAGGGAGGUAGAAUUCUAGGUGUAGCGGUGAAAUGCGUAGAUAUCUGGAGGAAUACCUGUGGCGAAAGCGGCCUCCUAAACGAAUACUGACACUGAGGUGCGAAAGCGUGGGGAGCAAACAGGGAUUAGAUACC